GCCGACUGGUGCAGUGGUUAGAGACCCUGACUGCUAAGCCGAAGGUCCCGGGUUCGAUUCCCCCGGCUGGGGCA
rnacentral:tRNA from 1 species